UAUAACCUGACGCAGCUACCCUACUGCUGUGC
rnacentral:piRNA from 1 species